CCCUUAGAUGUUCUGGGCCGCCCGCGCGCUACACUGACGAUGGCAACGAGUUUUUCCUUCGCCGAAAGGUGUGGGUAAUCUUUUGAAACAUCGUCGUGCUGGGGAUAGAUCAUUGCAAUUUUUGAUCUUGAACGAGGAAUUCCUAGUAAGCGCGAGUCAUCAGCUCGCGUUGAUUACGUCCCUGCCCUUUGUACACACCGCCCGUCGCUACUACCGAUUGAAUGGUUUAGUGAGGACUCCUGAUUGGCGCCGCCGCCCCGGCAACGGAGCAGCGGACUGCCGAAAAGUUGUUCAAACUUGAUCAUUUAGAGGAAGUAAAAGUCGUAACA
rnacentral:rRNA from 1 species